rnacentral:rRNA from 1 species
UACGUAGGGGGCAAGCGUUGUCCGGAUUUAUUGGGCGUAAAGCGCGCGUAGGCGGCUUUGCAAGUUAGAGGUGAAAGCCCGGAGCUUAACUCCGGAACUGCCUUUAAAACUGCAUCGCUUGAAUCAUGGAGAGGUUAGUGGAAUUCCGAGUGUAGAGGUGAAAUUCGUAGAUAUUCGGAAGAACACCAGUGGCGAAGGCGACUAACUGGACAUGUAUUGACGCUGAGGUGCGAAAGCGUGGGGAGCAAACAGG